rnacentral:rRNA from 1 species
GACGAACGCUGGCGGCGCGCCUAACACAUGCAAGUCGAACGAGCGAGAGAGAGCUUACUUUCUCGAGCGAGUGGCGAACGGGUGAGUAACGCGUGAGGAACCUGCCUCAAAGAGGGGGACAACAGUUGGAAACGACUGCUAAUACCGCAUAAGCCCACAGGUCGGCAUCGACCAGAGGGAAAAGGAGCAAUCCGCUUUGAGAUGGCCUCGCGUCCGAUUAGCUAGUUGGUGAGGUAAUGGCCCACCAAGGCGACGAUCGGUAGCCGGACUGAGAGGUUGAACGGCCACAUUGGGACUGAGACACGGCCCAGACUCCUACGGGAGGCAGCAGUGGGGAAUAUUGCACAAUGGGGGAAACCCUGAUGCAGCGACGCCGCGUGGAGGAAGAAGGUCUUCGGAUUGUAAACUCCUGUUGUUGAGGAAGAUAAUGACGGUACUCAACAAGGAAGUGACGG